rnacentral:tRNA from 1 species
GGGGGUAGCUCAGUGGUAGAGUGCCUGCCUAGCAUGCACAAGAUCCUGGGUUCAAUCCCUAGUACCUCCA